AUCAGAGUCCAAUCCCUCUCCUCCCUCUCAGAACCCUAAAGAAAAGGAAGAGAUAGAAGGAGGAUGGAGACGAGGCGCGCUUCCGACCCCUGCGCGUGCCGCUCUAUACGAUUUCGCGGAAAAGACCAAUGGAAGCCGAGAUCGACGAGGACCAGGCUGCAGCAGCGGCGGACGAGACUUUGCUGAAGAAGUCGAAGGGUGCCUCCCUGAUCUCUUCCGCGGCAGCUGAGGGUGCAUCGGCGAUGGAUGAGGAGAACAACCAAGCAAACGGAAUGGAGGUCGACGUGAACGGUUGCAACCAGGCCGAGAUCGACGAGGACCUCCACAGCCGGCAGCUGGCGGCGUACGGACGGGAGACCAUGCGCCGGCUCUUUGCGUCGAACGUUCUUGUUUCGGGCCUUCAGGGCCUUGGUGCUGAGAUCGGUUUGAAGAUUGCUUCUCCAACCGUGUGAAUUAGUUGACAUUUACUUUCCCUGAGGAUGCCACCACCAGCACCGGUCCACCUUUCUGGUCUGCUCCUAAAAGAUUUCCACGACCAUAUCAGUUCUCAUCUAUUGAUCCCAGCCACCUUCAAUUUGUCAUGGCUGCUUCCAUUCUUAGAGUUGAGACAUUUGGACUCUGUUCCUGACUGGACCAAAAAUCCAGAGAAGUUAGCUGAAGCUGUUCAUAAGGUAUUAGUCCCUGAUUUUUGGCCCAAGGCAGAUGCUAAAAUUGUGACAGAUGAGAAAGCUACUAGCCUGUCCACUGCUUCCAGUUGAUGAUGCUGCUGUCAUCAAUGACCUUAUUGCAAAGCUUGAAGAGUGUGCCAAGAAGCUGCCCCCAGGAUUUCAUAUGUACCCAAUUCAGUUUGAGAAGGAUGAUGACACAAGCUACCAUAUGGAUUUUAUAGCUGGGCUAGCCAACAUGCGUGCAAGGAACUAUAGCAUUCCCCAAGUAGAUGAGCUGAAGGCAAAAUUCAUCGCCGGGAGGAUCAUCCCGGCGAUUGUCACGUCAAUGGCCAUGGCUACUGGCCUCGUAUAUCUGGAGCUCUACAAAGUGCUAGCCGGUGGGCAUAAUCUGGAGGACUACCGAAACACAUUUGCCAACCUUGCACUACCACUCUUGUCUAUUCCCGAGCCUGUUCCUCCCAAGAUGAUCAAAUGCCGGGACAUGAGCUGGACAGUGUGGGAUCGCUGGAUCAUCAAGGGCGACCUUACUCUUCGACAGCUGCUGCAAUGGCUCAAGGAGAAGGGCAGACUGAAUGCUUACAGCAUUUCCAGUGGUGCCUCUUUACUCUACAACAGCGAGCGAUCACAGACAGGAAGGUGAUCAAUCUGAUUGAGUAGGUUACCAAGGUUGAAGUGCCUCUUCACUCCAUGAGUUUACCUGUAUCGAACGCAACGCAUGAGACUACUACUGCCGUUCGCUGGCUCCUCCUCUGUUGCGUUUAUGGUUCCGUUACGUGUUCUCAAGACCAUGCUGAAGAUUGAUUAUGUCUCUGAGAUCCAAUACCUUUUUCCUCAUCGAGCCAUCCAUGUCUGUCAUCCCCAAACCGGCCGUGUCGCCUUCCACCACCCCGCUGAAGCUGGCGACGUCCA